CUUGUCUUUUGUCUUUUUU
rnacentral:sRNA from 1 species